UAGUCGAGCGAGGUUAGCCCUCGCGGCGAACAGCUCAGUAACACGUGGCCAAGCUACCCUGCAGAGGGGGACAGGGUUGGGAAACUGACGGGAAUCCCCCAUACCGGUCUCACGCUGGAAUGCCGAGACCGACAAACGCUCCGGCGCUGCAGGAUGCGGCUGCGGCCGAUUAGGUAGUCGGUGGGGUAACGGCCCACCGAGCCGAUAAUUGGUACGGGGUGUGAGAGCACGAGCCCGGAGACGGAAUCUGAGACAAGAUUCCGGGCCCUACGGGGCGCAGCAGGCGCGAAACCUUUACACUGCACGCACGUGCGAUAAGGGGACUCCGAGUGCGAGGGCAUACAGUCCUCGCUAUUGUGUACCGUAGGGUGGUACACGACCAAGAGCUGGGCAAGACCGGUGCCAGCCGCCGCGGUAAUACCGGCGGCUCGAGUGAUGGCCGAUUUUAUUGGGCC
rnacentral:rRNA from 1 species